CGGGUGAGUAACACGUGGGUGAUCUGCCCUGCACUUUGGGAUAAGCCUGGGAAACUGGGUCUAAUACCGAAUAGGACCACGCGCUUCAUGGUGUGUGGUGGAAAGCUUUUGCGGUGUGGGAUGGGCCCGCGGCCUAUCAGCUUGUUGGUGGGGUAAUGGCCUACCAAGGCGACGACGGGUAGCCGGCCUGAGAGGGUGACCGGCCACACUGGGACUGAGAUACGGCCCAGACUCC
rnacentral:rRNA from 1 species